GUCUAUAACCAUACCACCCUGAACAUGUCCAAUCUUGUCUGAUCUCACAGAAGCUAAGCACGGUUGGGUCUGGUUAGUACUUGGAUGGGAGAAACCUGGUACCUGUUGGCA
rnacentral:rRNA from 1 species